AACGAACGCUGGCGGCAGGCUUAACACAUGCAAGUCGAACGCGUGUAGCAAUACACGAGUGGCGCACGGGUGAGUAACGCGUGGAUAUCUGCCUUUUGGUUCGGAAUAACUCCGGGAAACUGGAGCUAAUACCGGAUGGUUCCUACGGGAUAAAGAUUUAUCGCCAAAAGAUGAGUCCGCGUACGAUUAGCUAGUUGGUGAGGUAAUGGCUCACCAAGGCGACGAUCGUUAGCUGGUCUGAGAGGACGAUCAGCCACACUGGGGCUGAGACACGGCCCAGACUCCUACGGGAGGCAGCAGUGGGGAAUAUUGGACAAUGGGGGCAACCCUGAUCCAGCCAUGCCGCGUGAGUGACGAAGGCCUUCGGGUUGUAAAGGCUCUUUUGGCGGGGACGAUGAUGACGGUACCCGCAGAAUAAGCCCCGGCUAACUUCGUGCCAGCAGCCGCGGUAAU
rnacentral:rRNA from 1 species